CACUCUAAUGGUUCUUCUCUUGGGGGAAUCCUGGAAUCUUAGAAAGGAGAGACAGUAAAUUAUUCUGUAUAGCUUCAUUCACAACACUAGGCAACACUGCAUUUAUAGCACUAGGCAAUGCUUCUUUAAUAGCCUCAGUGAUGUCUGUUUGUGAGACUGACUUGACUGUAGAAACACCUGUAUCUUCAGGUAAUGGCACAUCUCUAUGAUCAUGAAUACCAAUAUCCAGACUGCGGCCUAACCCAUGAACUCGUCCUUUCUUGUUGGUUCCUGCAACUUCUGUCCACACGUCAGGAUCAACUUCAGGUUGAUCUAUUAAAUCUUCUCCAUAUUUUUGUGAUAUUGCCUCUCCAUAUGAGUCUUUUUUAACGGUUUUUAGAAUUAAAAAAAAAAGAAAAUAGAUAAUAUAAAUAGUAUACUGCUUGCAGCCCUAACCCCCAAAAAUCCCUAACCUCUACGGCGCUACUCCUCUCACUCUCUCAGCCAGCAGCCCCUCUCUCUCUCAGCCAGCGGCAACAGCAGUCACCGCCUCCCCCGUCACCGAACUCUUCUAGUCAGCCAGAGGGUGCCUCGCCGUCGGCAGUGACAGAUAGAGGGUGCUUCGAGCUCUUGGCCGUCCAUCCUCGUCUCCUCCACGUCGCCGCCUUUGGCCGUCCAUCCUCGUCUUUUCUUCAUCGUCUUCGUCUUCGUCGUGUGGACUUGCAGAUCGAAACGUGGUCGGCUGGCUUCCUCCAUUGUUGGUCAGUUUGCUCGAUCCCGUCUGUCUCGCCGUUCCUCCCUUGCUGCCUGUUUCGUUACUCCCUUGCUGCCUGUUUCGUUCCUCCAUGACGUCAGUUUGGUUCCUCUGUCGAUAGCUUUGCUUUAGUUUUUUUUUUCUUUUGUUAAUUUCUAUGAUUUUGACUUUCUAUUUUUUAAAGAUUCAACUCUGUUUGCUUCAAUUUAUGGUUCUGUAUUUUGUUAAUUUUACUGAGUUACUGAAAUCUAAGAUCUGAUUCUUGAGUUGCUAUUUCUGUUUCUAUUUGUUGUGUUCUGAAUCUGAAUUGGGGUGAGUUGAUAUUUUUUUCUGUUGCUGUUUCUGUUUCUAUUUGUUGUGAUUCUGAAUCUGAAUUGGGGUGAGUUGAUAUUUUUUUUCUGUUUGUUAUGUUCUGACUUCUGAAUUAGAGUUGGUGGUGGUAUGAUUAAUUUUGUCAUGGUGUUUUACAUGAUCUGCAUAUGAGGACAUACAUGUUAAGGUAACAAAAAAAAAAGUCAUGCUACAUGUUUCAUUGUAUGUUUAAUUUUUAAUAAUUUUAUUUAAUAUUUAAUUAAACCGGUUGAACCCCGGUCGAACCUUUGAACCAGUGAACCAGUCACUUUACCGGUUCAUUGACCGGUCCGGUUCUCGCAACCUUGCUAAUCAAUUAUCUAUCAAAGAAAUAAACUACGAUAAUAAGCUAAGCCUAACAAAAUGCAUUAACAUAAGCCACCUAACCAAAUAUUAUUCCCAACAAAAUUACUCUAAUGGUUCUUCUCUUGGGGGAAUCCUGGAAUCUUAGAAAGGAGAGACAGUAAAUUAUUCUGUAUAGCUUCAUUCACAACACUAGGCAACACUGCAUUUAUAGCACUAGGCAAUGCUUCUUUAAUAGCCUCAGUGAUGUCUGUUUGUGAGACUGACUUGACUGUAGAAACACCUGUAUCUUCAGGUAAUGGCACAUCUCUAUGAUCAUGAAUACCAAUAUCCAGACUGCGGCCUAACCCAUGAACUCGUCCUUUCUUGUUGGUUCCUGCAACUUCUGUCCACACGUCAGGAUCAACUUCAGGUUGAUCUAUUAAAUCUUCUCCAUAUUUUUGUGAUAUUGCCUCUCCAUAUGAGUCCUACAGCAAAAAAAUAAGGACAUAUUAUUAAGAAAACUAAAACUAAAUUAUGCUACAAAAUUAAAGACACUUACAAUAAUUUUCUUGGAUACUUCAGAAACAUAUUCUCCACUUUUUUUCUUAUGAACAUCAUCAUAUACUUCA
rnacentral:lncRNA from 1 species